UCUAUAAAAUAAAAUAUACAAAUAUAUGCAUAUCAAAUUGAUUUGAGAAAAAAACCCUCUAUAAACUAGGUUGUCGAACUCUCUCUCGUUUUUUGUUCUCCUUUUAGGCGAAAGGCUUUCUGCUGUAAUAGGCAGUUUCCAUCCGCCCAGAGAGGCCUCCUCCCCUAAUCAGUACCUGCAGCCAAAUUCUCCAUAUUUGGCGGAAAGUGAUGGAUGGUGGUUCGUGAGGAAAAACUCGAGAGGUGUGUGUUUGGUCCCCGAAAAAGGCACUUCCUGACCAUUCGCUUUGCUCUGUCAGAUCUGCGAAGGCUCCCCUUGUUCCUUGGAUCGGUGGCUGUUGUGUUGGUUGUUAUGAACAUCUUCCCAUUGUAACAACAUGCCCCACCCCCACCUUUUCCUCUCUAGAUUCGAUUGUGCAUGUGGAAGAUAUGUUGUUUCAACACGCUUCUCUUCUGCUAUGAUUUUCCUAAUUUCUCUCUGGAUUUUCUCUAUUCUUCAGUUUGCUUUGAUAACUUUUGGGUUGUGUUGUAGGAGAAUCUGACAUUCAAUAUUGAUUCAGCUCUUGACGACUGGAGCUUCCUCUGGCAAUGGUGGGACAGCGCUGUUGUUAUUGUGAAUCGAAUCUAGUUGUGUUGGAUCAUGAGUACCAGGCCCUAGGGUUCCUGUUCUCUAAGUGGAUUUAGUUUUUCUGUUGGACCCUAAAAGCUUUUGUUGUUGUUUCUUUGUUCUUCUAUAUCCAUGGGGCCUUUGGACUCACCCUUAUAUUG